AGUGAACGCUGGCGGUAGGCCUAACACAUGCAAGUCGAACGGCAGCACAGUAAGAGCUUGCUCUUACGGGUGGCGAGUGGCGGACGGGUGAGGAAUACAUCGGAAUCUACUUUUUCGUGGGGGAUAACGUAGGGAAACUUACGCUAAUACCGCAUACGACCUACGGGUGAAAGCAGGGGAUCUUCGGACCUUGCGCGAGUGAAUGAGCCGAUGUCGGAUUAGCUAGUUGGCGGGGUAAAGGCCCACCAAGGCGACGAUCCGUAGCUGGUCUGAGAGGAUGAUCAGCCACACUGGAGCUGAGACACGGCCCAGACUCCUACGGGAGGCAGCAGUGGGGAAUAUUGGACAAUGGGCGCAAGCCUGAUCCAGCCAUACCGCGUGGGUGAAGAAGGCCUUCGGGUUGUAAAGCCCUUUUGUUGGGAAAGAAAAGCAGCAGGUUAAUACCCCGCUGUUCUGACGGUACCCAAAGAAUAAGCACCGGCUAACUUCGUG
rnacentral:rRNA from 1 species